GGUGCGUUAGCUCAGCCUGGUAGAGCACCGGUCAUUUGGGACCGGUGGCCGGACGUUCGAAUCGUUCACGCACCC
rnacentral:tRNA from 1 species